rnacentral:rRNA from 1 species
AAGGUUGGCUAAUCCUGGUCGGACAUCAGGAGGUUAGUGCAAUGGCAUAAGCCAGCUUGACUGCGAGCGUGACGGCGCGAGCAGGUGCGAAAGCAGGUCAUAGUGAUCCGGUGGUUCUGAAUGGAAGGGCCAUCGCUCAACGGAUAAAAGGUACUCCGGGGAUAACAGGCUGAUACCGCCCAAGAGUUCAUAUCGACGGCGGUGUUUGGCACCUCGAUGUCGGCUCAUCACAUCCUGGGGCUGAAGUAGGUCCCAAGGGUAUGGCUGUUCGCCAUUUAAAGUGGUACGCGAGCUGGGUUUAGAACGUCGUGAGACAGUUCGGUCCCUAUCUGCCGUGGGCGCUGGAGAACUGAGGGGGGCUGCUCCUAGUACGAGAGGACCGGAGUGGACGCAUCACUGGUGUUCGGGUUGUCAUGCCAAUGGCACUGCCCGGUAGCUAAAUGCGGAAGAGAUAAGUGCUGAAAGCAUCUAAGCACGAAACUUGCCCCGAGAUGAGUUCUCCCUGACCCUUUAAGGGUCCUGAAGGAACGUUGAAGACGACGACGUUGAUAGGCCGGGUGUGUAAGCGCAGCGAUGCGUUGAGCUAACCGGUACUAAUGAACCGUGAGGCUUAACCUU